rnacentral:tRNA from 1 species
GGAUAUGUGGCAGAGAGGUUUAUAGUGUAACUCUUGAGUAGUUAUGUACUACUAUAGUACCGUAAGUUCGAAUCUUACCAUAUCCG